UGGUGCAAUCAUACCAGCGUUAAUGCAUUGGAUCCCAUCAAAACUCCGCAGUUAAGCACGCUUGGGCUAGAGUAGUACUGGGAUGGGUGACCUCCUGGGAAGUCCUAGUGUUGUGCCCU
rnacentral:rRNA from 1 species